GACGAACGCUGGCGGCGUGCUUAACACAUGCGAGUCGAACGGAAAGGCCCUGCUUUUGCGGGGUGCUCGAGUGGCGAACGGGUGAGUAACACGUGAGUAACCUGCCCUUGACUUUGGGAUAACUUCAGGAAACUGGGGCUAAUACCGGAUAGGAGCUCCUGCUGCAUGGUGGGGGUUGGAAAGUUUCGGCGGUUGGGGAUGGACUCGCGGCUUAUCAGCUUGUUGGUGAGGUAGUGGCUUACCAAGGCUUUGACGGGUAGCCGGCCUGGGAGGGUGACCGGCCACAUUGGGACUGAGAUACGGCCCAGACUCCUACGGGAGGCAGCAGUGGGGAAUAUUGCACAAUGGGCGGAAGCCUGAUGCAGCGACGCCGCGUGCGGGAUGACGGCCUUCGGGUUGUAAACCGCUUUCGCCUGUGACGAAGCGUGAGUGACGGUAAUGGGUAAAGAAGCACCGGCUAACUACGUG
rnacentral:rRNA from 1 species